GGACAAGAAACUAAGAGUAUUAUGGUUUCGGCCCGUAAAUAUGGCUACUAAUUGUACCCUUGUUCU
rnacentral:tRNA from 1 species